rnacentral:rRNA from 1 species
GGCACAUGAGGANAUUGCGCAAUGGAGGAAACUCUGACGCAGCCAUGCCGCGUGCAGGANUAANGCCCUAUGGGUUGUAAACUGCUUUUAUACGGGAAGAAAUAUAUCUACGUGUAGAUAUUUGACGGUACCGUACGAAUAAGGAUCGGCUAACUCCGUGCCAGCAGCCGCGGUAAUAU